rnacentral:rRNA from 1 species
AGGGAAUCUUCCACAAUGGACGCAAGUCUGAUGGAGCAACGCCGCGUGAGUGAAGAAGGUUUUCGGAUCGUAAAGCUCUGUUGUUGGUGAAGAAGGAUAGAGGUAGUAACUGGCCUUUAUUUGACGGUAAUCAACCAGAAAGUCACGGCUAACUACGUGCCAGCAGCCGCGGUAAUACGUAGGUGGCAAGCGUUGUCCGGAUUUAUUGGGCGUAAAGCGAGCGCAGGCGGAAGAAUAAGUCUGAUGUGAAAGCCCUCGGCUUAACCGAGGAACUGCAUCGGAAACUGUUUUUCUUGAGUGCAGAAGAGGAGAGUGGAACUCCAUGUGUAGCGGUGGAAUGCGUAGAUAUAUGGAAGAACACCAGUGGCGAAGGCGGCUCUCUGGUCUGCAACUGACGCUGAGGCUCGAAAGCAUGGGUAGCGAACAGGAUUAGAUACCCUGGUAGUCCAUGCCGUAAACGAUGAGUGCUAAGUGUUGGGAGGUUUCCGCCUCUCAGUGCUGCAGCUAACGCAUUAAGCACUCCGCCUGGGGAGUACGACCGCAAGGUUGAAACUCAAAGGAAUUGACGGGGGCCCGCACAAGCGGUGGAGCAUGUGGUUUAAUUCGAAGCAACGCGAAGAACCUUACCAGGUCUUGACAUCUAGUGCCAUUUGUAGAGAUACAAAGUUCCCUUCGGGGACGCUAAGACAGGUGGUGCAUGGCUGUCGUCAGCUCGUGUCGUGAGAUGUUGGGUUAAGUCCCGCAACGAGCGCAACCCUUGUUAUUAGUUGCCAGCAUUAAGUUGGGCACUCUAAUGAGACUGCCGGUGACAAACCGGAGGAAGGUGGGGAUGACGUCAAGUCAUCAUGCCCCUUAUGACCUGGGCUACACACGUGCUACAAUGGGCAGUACAACGAGAAGCGAGCCUGCGAAGGCAAGCGAAUCUCUGAAAGCUGUUCUCAGUUCGGACUGCAGUCUGCAACUCGACUGCACGAAGCUGGAAUCGCUAGUAAUCGCGGAUCAGCACGCCGCGGUGAAUACGUUCCCGGGCCU